CGUUGGUCCCCCCGCGACGAGAAGCCGUGAACCCGGUCAGGCCCGGAAGGGAGCAGCCGCAGCGGUGGAUUCGGGCGCCGGGGUGUGGCUGGCGUGG
rnacentral:SRP_RNA from 1 species